UACGGAGGGUGCGAGCGUUGUCCGGAAUCACUGGGCGUAAAGGGCGCGUAGGCGGCUCGGUAAGUAGGGGGUGAAAUCCUGCGGCUUAACCGCAGGGCUGCCUUCUAAACUGUCGAGCUUGAGCACGGUAGAGGCAGAUGGAAUUCCCGGUGUAGCGGUGGAAUGCGUAGAGAUCCGGAAGAACACCGGUGGCGAAGGCGGCCAUCUGGACGGAUACUGACGCUGAGACGCGAAAGCGUGGGGAGCAAACAGG
rnacentral:rRNA from 1 species